rnacentral:lncRNA from 1 species
AUGAUCUUUUCUGGAGAAUGUGUUCUUUGGGGUGAAAGGGGACUAAGAAUGAAUACUGAUCCUAAUUGCAUACAUCAUAUUUUUUGUUUUUCAGAAAAUCGUUCUGACAAAAAUAUAAUAAUAAUAGUGCUUGGAAUCAUUGCUGCAAUAAUGACACUUUUAUUUUUUGUUUUUUGCAUACUUUAUUUCAAAACAAGAGGUUCUCUCCAUGGACAUUCAGAUGCUAUAUGUCAAUCAUGCAGUGAUUGCCUUUUUGUAGCUGACAAGUCACUUGACAUAAUAUCCUCAAGGUUUAUCCACAUUGUCACAUAUUGCAGAAUUUCCUUCUUCUUAAUGCUGAACAAUAUUAUAUGGUAUGUAUAA